rnacentral:rRNA from 1 species
CCUACGGGAGGCAGCAGUGAGGAAUAUUGGUCAAUGGACGCAAGUCUGAACCAGCCAUGCCGCGUGCAGGAAGACGGCCCUAUGAGUUGUAAACUGCUUUUGUACGAGGGUAAACGCAGAUACGCGUAUCUGUCUGAAAGUAUCGUACGAAUAAGGAUCGGCUAAAUCCGUGCCAGCAGCCGCGGGAAUACGGAGGAUUCAAGCGUUAUCCGGAUUUAUUGGGUUUAAAGGGUGCGUAGGCGGUCGGAUAAGUUAGAGGUGAAAGCCCGAGGCUCAACUUCGGAAUUGCCUCUGAUACUGUUCGGCGUGAGAGUAGUUGCGGUAGGCGGAAUGUAUGGUGUAGCGGUGAAAUGCUUAGAGAUCAUACAGAACACCGAUUGCGAAGGCAGCUUACCAAGCUACUUCUGACGUUGAGGCACGAAAGCGUGGGGAGCAAACAGGAUUAGAUACCCGUGUAGUC